ACAUGACAUGACCUUUGCAGAAAUAGCUAUUUUUUUGCAAAUCAUUGUGAGUUGCCAUGGUAACACAAAUUUGACCUAAAUUUAGAUUUGUUUGAUUAUGUACAGGGGGUAGGACGUGUAAAGUAUCUAUCGGUGGUUUAAGCGAGAGAAAUGUGUUUUUCGGUGCAAAAUGGCGGGAAAACGUUGACAUGUGUAAAGGAAAUUUUAAAUUUCAUCAAAGUAAGUGUGUUUUUCUCGAUUUAUAUCCAUAACGAGUACGUCCAUGUUGUGGCAAGAUUACUUGUCUAUCGUCGACUAUCAACCCGGGGUCAAUGAUUUUCGAUGUAAAAAAGUUUUUGAAGGGACAGUGGUGAGACACAGCCGUCGAAAACUUUCCAAACUCACUUUAUGAUUGCUUUUCUUACAAAAAUCUUGCAGUUUCCGCCUCGGUUACAUUCUUGAUCGUUGCAAUAUCAUUUGUGCUCCAUUUGUUAUACAAAAAGCGGGCGCUAAAGCCCCUCACGCCCAAUUUUUUACGUAUAAGCCAGUUUUUGAUAUCUUUCGGGUUGGUUUAAGACAAUUUUGUAUCUGCUCGGGAACGUCCUUACAAUUCUAAUGAAGGUUUAUAAGAUUUUUCAGAAUGUUCUGUGAAUCUAUUUUAGUUUCUGCUGGGUCCAGGUAUCGAACCCGUAUCAACGAAAUGACAGCGCGUAGAAGCAAGAACUACUAAAGUGUCACAUUUUAAUAUGCCAGUGUAAUAGAAUUGUCCAUAGAUAUAUCUCUUUCUAUCUAUUUCUAGGUCUUUCCAAAUGAAAACAGCUAAGUCGAGAUCGUAUGAAAUCCCGGACGAUAUCUCUCCAAGUAGUAGCAGAAUAAGGAGUAACGUAGGGGCCACAAAAGAUCCUAUUCCAGUGCAACGGUCAGAAACCACAAAUUCGAUGAGAGAAAGGCGAGAAAGGCAAAACACGGAACUGUGAGAAGUUUUUCCGAACAGCCGAGCGGAGUACAAUCCGUCCGUUACCACUAUAAAGUUGACGAAUCGAAAAUACUCCUAUCAGUGCGGUUAGGAAUUCCUGAGUCUAGAAGAUUUCUUCACCUGAACUGGCUGUCAGCCAAUUGAGUUUAUACGACGUAAUAAAAAUAAAUCACUACGUGGUUUCCAAAGACUUUCAAACACAUAAACUGUACACUCUACAUCCGUAAAAUAUUAAAUAAAAGAUGAAUGAAUCCACGAAA
rnacentral:lncRNA from 1 species